UUACAUAUGAAAUGAAAGUGGAAAUUCAUUUCAACCAAGUGGACAAUUGUUUUUUAAUGAUACCCGUAUGUGAAAAUGACUUAGCGACAGUCGUUAUGUAUGUGUGUUUACAUAUGAAACGAAAGUGGAAAUUCAUUUUAACCAAGUGGACAAUUGUUUUUUAAAGUUUAAAGAUCUACUGUAAGUUUUUAUUUGCUUCAAGUCCAGUCGCUUUAAUACAUGUUUAGUAAAGAUCCUUGUCCAGUCAAUGUGAUCCUUGUCCAGUCAAGUUAUUAUAGAUACUUGAGAUGACGACACAACCUUACUUAUAAAAUAGGCUGACCUCAGAGGUACAUUCAUCAGUAUUUAUCUAAUUAAUCUGGGAAAGUGCAAUAGAUGUUCUGGUGUUUGAUGGAAAGAGUCACAUCCUGCUUGUAGAAUAUAUUUGUACCUCAUUCAGGCUAUAAUGGCAAGUUGGAAUAAGAAACUAACUACAGCUGCUAGGGAUGGAGAUAUAGAAGCCUUAAAAUUAAGCCUACAGAAUGGUGCAGACAUUGAUUAUCG